GUAGGGUGCAAGCGUUAAUCGGAAUUACUGGGCGUAAAGCGUGCGCAGGCGGUUUUGUAAGACAGAGGUGAAAUCCCCGGGCUCAACCUGGGAACUGCCUUUGUGACUGCAAGGCUGGAGUGCGGCAGAGGGGGAUGGAAUUCCGCGUGUAGCAGUGAAAUGCGUAGAUAUGCGGAGGAACACCGAUGGCGGAGGCAAUCCCCUGGGCCUGCACUGACGCUCAUGCACGAAAGCGUGGGGAGCAAACAGGAUUAGAUACCCUGGUAGUCCACGCCCUAAACGAUGUCAACUGGUUGUUGGGAAUUAGUUUUCUCAGUAACGAAGCUAACGCGUGAAGUUGACCGCCUGGGGAGU
rnacentral:rRNA from 1 species